UUAAUUAUAAUAAAGAAACUGCCUCGGCCCUCAUAGGACAGAAAAUUAGGUAGGCGGAGUAGACAGAAGAGAAUGCUGGGAAAAAGAAGCUUAGUGAAGAGUCGCCAUGAUUCUCCCACUCCAGACAGACGCAGGUUAAGAUCCUCCCUGAUUGAUGGAAGCUAAAGAUUUUAUUAAUCUAUCAAGAGAAUGUUAGGCUGCACAGUCUAUAAGAACUUUACAGAAGAUGCUAAUUGCAGCUUCAUCAGAAAACUUCUGACCAAAGUUUUUUCUCUAGGUGAUUCAUCUGGAUCUUGGCUGGAAUUGUUUGUGACAAGUCCAACUACUUGAAAGGUGAAGAUGAAAGUGCCUUAUUUAUGCAUACUUGGAGUGGCUGAAAAUUGAUAUGCACCCCUUGCAUUAAUCUUUCUUUUGAGACAUAAACAAUUGUCCCUUUGUACCAGUUAAGGCAAAAAAAGAAACAAUUCCACCCAAGUGUGACAUAAUGAAUCAAUGAGUAUUUUGGGAUUACAUCUACAAGACCAAAGGAGGGGUUCCUUACAGGAGCAUGAAUGACACCAAGGCAACUACAUCACUGAAAGUCCACUACCGUCUGGGCCAUAACUCACUACACAAUGUAGAGGCUGUGUCCCUCUAUCUUCCCACAGCACUACAGAUAUUUUGGU